rnacentral:rRNA from 1 species
UACGGAGGAGGCAAGCGUUAUCCGGAAUUAUUGGGCGUAAAGCGUCCGCAGGUGGCACUUCAAGUCUGUCGUCAAAGACUGGGGCUUAACCCUGGAAAGGCGGUGGGAACUGAAGCGCUAGAGUGCGGUAGGGGUAGAGGGAAUUCCCGGUGUAGCGGUGAAAUGCGUAGAGAUCGGGAAGAACAUCGGUGGCGAAAGCGCUCUACUGGACCGCAACUGACACUCAGGGACGAAAGCUAGGGGAGCGAAUGGG